UACGUAGGGCGCAAGCGUUAUCCGGAAUUAUUGGGCGUAAAGGGCUCGUAGGCGGUUUGUCGCGUCGGGAGUGAAAACACCGGGCUUAACUCGGUGCUUGCUUUCGAUACGGGCAGACUAGAGGUAUGCAGGGGAGAACGGAAUUCCUGGUGUAGCGGUGAAAUGCGCAGAUAUCAGGAGGAACACCGGUGGCGAAGGCGGUUCUCUGGGCAUUACCUGACGCUGAGGAGCGAAAGUGUGGGAGCGAACAGG
rnacentral:rRNA from 1 species